GUUUUCACUCUGUUAUUCAUGAUUUGUAACAGAUUUGUGGCCACCGAUCGACAUGAAGAAAGUGGACGGUGUGGAUUAGGAUCUUUUUAUUCCCUCCCCCUGCUUUUUCUACUUUCUGUUGUUUUCUUGGGGCUUCAUCCUCCUCACGUCAAUGUGGGCUCUGAAGGACCUCUCCCCACUCUGUGGUUUGGAAUAAAUGAUGGCAGCGUGUUGGAGUGAUUUCCCAAAGGACACUGAAGAGCGGAAACACUUAGCUGUAAUUCCCGCCUGUCAGCGGUUACAUCAUUAUAAUCAUCACUACGAGCCAGCUCUGCAGCGGCGGCAUGUUUUGGAUUAAUCCAUCAUCAGAAAAUGGCAACAGUGUGUGCCUGUAAUCCUCUUACUGUGUCAGAACUAGCUGAGGAUUGAUGACUUAAAUCUAUCAGCAUCCUGAUAGACAAAAAGUUACAAACUGCAAACAAAUAAAACGAAAUCCAGGAGCUCAGUGAUUUUCGUGAGAUUGGUUGUGAUGUGUGAUUGUCUGAUGGAAGUGACCAGAACGUUGUUGAAAGUGUUUUAGUGGCGCCGUUUUGGAGAAAUCUCAUUAACCAAGGCGUGGUUUUGUAGCUAUUAGCUAGCAUGGAAUCUUUCCCCUUGCAUCCAUCUCUGCAAUCUAAUAAAUACUUCCCACAGCAACACUCUGCUCUGCCUCUGCGGAAAACUAAAACCACCACAUCCUCUCAAACUCCCAGCUGUUAGGCAGAAACAUCCGACGCACAUCAGUCAGCUUCAAAACUCGAUUUCCCUUGUCCACAAAGGACUCUCUACCAGCUGAUCAAAGAUGUUUUUUUGACAGACAAGUUCUUACUUUUGUCUAUAAAGUAUUCCUAGAAUUUUGAAGCAUUUACACAAUGAAUUUAAAACUAAAAUUCAGAGUAGGAUCUUACUGGUUUGAAGUGAACAGUGAACUCUUUCAACACAGGCUAAAAGCAAAUACUAAUAACUAACUACAUUUAUUUCAAAAUUGGU